GGGGAAUAUUGGACAAUGGGCGAAAGCCUGAUCCAGCCAUGCCGCGUGAGUGAAGAAGGCCCUAGGGUUGUAAAGCUCUUUCGCUAGGGACGAUAAUGACGGUACCUAGAUAAGAAGCCCCGGCUAACUUCGUGCCAGCAGCCGCGGUAAUACGAAGGGGGCUAGCGUUGCUCGGAAUCACUGGGCGUAAAGCGCAUGUAGGCGGAUUGUUAAGUCAGGGGUGAAAGCCCGAGGCUCAACCUCGGAACUGCCUUUGAUACUGGCAAUCUUGAGUCCGGGAGAGGUGAGUGGAACUGCGAGUGUAGAGGUGAAAUUCGUAGAUAUUCGCAAGAACACCAGUGGCGAAGGCGGCUCACUGGCCCGGUACUGACGCUGAGAUGCGAAAGCGUGGGGAGCAAAC
rnacentral:rRNA from 1 species